AAGGAUCAUUACAGUAUGAUUAAAGGGGAGGGGUUGGAUGCUGGCCCGUGAGGGCAAGUGCGCGCCUCUCCCGUUUGUAUUUAUUACACCUGUGCACCUAUGGCGAGCGCCUUCCAUUUGGAGCAGUCCGAUGUUCUCUCGGACCGAGGCGCUCCCUCUUUUGUAUUAUGUUUACGCCUGUUCUAAUGCAUGUUUUUGAGCUUUAUGGAGUUAAUAUGACUUUCAACAACGGAUCUCUUGGCUUUUGCAUCGAUGAAGAACGCCGCGAAAGUGCGAAACGUAAUGUGAAUUGCAGAAUUCAGUGAAUCAUCGAAUCUUUGAACGCAUCUUGCGCUCCUUGGUAUUCCGAGGAGCAUGCCUGUUUGAGUGUCGUGAAACCCUCUCGGUUCCCUCCUUUCUGAAGGAGAGGGGUCGGAUUUGGAUGCUUGCGGUGGUGGUCUAGGCCGUCGUCGCUCGUCUUUAAAUGCAUUAGCUUGGCCUUUGGAGCGGUUGGUGUCCGAUGCGGUGUGAUACGAUCUUGUUUGACGCCGUUUGAUUUCAAUCUUCUUCGAGAGGUAGCUUCCAAUCGGAUAGCCUUUGCAUUCUGACCUCAAAUCAGGUAGGACUACCCGCUGAACUUAA
rnacentral:rRNA from 1 species